rnacentral:rRNA from 1 species
UACGUAGGGGGCAAGCGUUGUCCGGAUUUAUUGGGCGUAAAGCGCGUGUAGGCGGCCAUACAGGUCCGUUGUGAAAACUCGAGGCUUAACCUCGAGACGUCGAUGGAAACCGUAUGGCUAGAGUCCGGAAGAGGAGAGUGGAAUUCCUGGUGUAGCGGCGAAAUGCGCAGAUAUCGGGAGGAACACCUAUGGCGAAGGCAGCUCGCUGGGACGUUACUGACGCUGAGACGCGAAAGCGUGGGGAGCAAACAGG